ensembl:lncRNA
GUGUGUGUCAGAAAGAACAUGCGGGGAACGAGGCGGCGAGGCGACCGCCGAUCGACCGGUGGUAGAUCGUGGAUCAGGGAAACCGAAGGCAGGAGAAGCAGGCGGCUGCCGGUCGGAGCGUGAGGUGAACUGAAUUUCAGGUUGAAGCAGAAUUUGCCCGUCUUACAUCUGUUGACCUGAAAGGGUUCCUUUUGCUGUGCUUGACCAUUAUGGAGAGGUUCGUGGAGCUGUACAAAAUCAAGAGCGGCAUAGGAGGGCUAACUAGGCUCAUAAAAUGCUUCGGAGAUGAUAGCCCUACACAAAGGAAGAGGACAGAGGACCUCAUUUUCUAAAGGAAGAGCCCUCACACACUUUCAAGACUGUGAAGCCGACAGGUAUUGAAGACACGUUUUCUAAGAGGAUGAAAGUUGGCAUUGCGAUGGUGAAAGAAGAAGACAUCAUCGAUGUGUUGGUUGUCCUUGAGGCGGCAGUAAUCCUGUCUAAUCUGAGGGAUGUCUCAAGUGCCAUUUCCAUGCUGAUGGGCCUUCUUUUUGCCCUCAACAUAGACUAUCCAAAGGAACUUAAGGACAUCUUUGAAGUCAUUCAGAACAUCCUAAUGAACAUUGGUGGAAG